UACAGGGGGUGCAAACGUUGCUCGGAAUCAUUGGGCGUAAAGCGCACGUAGGCGGUCUGUUAUGUCGGAUGUGAAAGCCCUUGGCUCAACUGAGGAAGUGCAUCCGAAACUGGCAGGCUAGAGUACUAAAGAGGAUCGCGGAAUUCCCGGUGUAGAGGUGAAAUUCGUAGAUAUCAGGAGGAACACCAGUGGCGAAGGCGGCGACCUGGACAGAUAUUGACGCUGAGGUGCGAAAGCGUGGGGAGCAAACAGG
rnacentral:rRNA from 1 species